rnacentral:rRNA from 1 species
CAGUCGCCACGGGAAUACGAAGGGUGCAAGCGUUACUCGGAAUUACUGGGCGUAAAGCGUGCGUAGGUGGUGGUUUAAGUCCGUUGUGAAAGCCCUGGGCUCAACCUGGGAAUUGCAGUGGAUACUGGGUCACUAGAGUGUGGUAGAGGAUAGUGGAACUUCCGGUGUAGCAGUGAAAUGCGUAGAGAUCGGAAGGAACAUCUGUGGCGAAGGCGACUAUCUGGGCCAACACUGACACUGAGGCACGAAAGCGUGGGGAGCAAACAGGAUUAGAUACCCGCGUAGUCCCUGUCUCUUAUAC